rnacentral:rRNA from 1 species
CCUACGGGAGGCAGCAGUGAGGAAUAUUGGGCAAUGGACGGAAGUCUGAACCAGCCAUGCCGCGUGCAGGAAGACGGCUCUAUGAUUUGUAAACUGCUUUUUUACAAGGGUAAACCUGAACACUUGUAUUCAGCUGAAAGUACUGUACGAAUAAGGAUCGGCUAACUCCGUGCCAGCAGCCGCGGUAAUACGGAGGAUCCAAGCGUUAUCCGGAUUUAGUGGGUUUAAAGGGUGCGUAGGCGGAAUGGUAAGUUAGAGGUGAAAUGUCCGGGCUUAACUCGGGAACUGCGUCUAAUACUGUUGUUCUAGAGAGUAGGUGCGGUAGGCGGAAUGUAUGGUGUAGCGGUGAAAUGCUUAGAGAU